rnacentral:lncRNA from 1 species
CAUCAGGAUACCACACCUAGUAAUUGACUAUACUCAGCAAUCACAAAAACAGUCAACUCAAACACACAAGCAAACACAAUUUCAAAGAAAACCAAAGCCACAUCACCAUAACCAUCAACAGUCCACUCACCCAACAAUCAGAAAAAUCACUAGUUAGCAACAGAAAUUCCAUCGCCCACAGAAACCCAUAUCAACAAUACACCCAGAGAAUAAACAAAAAAAGCAAUCGAGCUACAUCUAAACCCCUUCCGCCAUUAUCCUUAACUCUCCACCAAUUAUCCGCUAUCAGUAAGCCCUAUCAACACAAGCCAAAAAAACCAGAGCAAAGUUAGAAACGAAAAAACCCAAAAAAAACAAAGACAUGUUUCUUUCUUUGGGUUUCGGCUUGAUUCUCUUCUAGGGGGUUUUGGGUCUUAAAAACUUGUAACGAGGCAGCCAAGGCAAGGAGAACAACAUACCUUGGGAGACGGCCAUAGAAGCGGUAGAAGAGAAGAUCUUGGGGUUUGAAUUCGUAACUUUCAAGACCCGAUCUAGGGAGUUGGAGGCGUUUUCAAUGAAAACUAAUGGCACCACGAGAAAGAGAAGGCCAAAAUGGGCUUCGGCGUG